UACGUAGGGUCCAAGCGUUAUCCGGAAUCACUGGGCGUAAAGCGUGCGUAGGCGGCGUGUUAAGUGUGAUGUUAAAUCGUGUGGCUCAACCAUAUCGAUGUGUCGCAUACUGGCAUGCUAGAGGACAGCAGAGGCAAGUGGAAUUUGUAGUGUAGCAGUGAAAUGCGUAGAUAUUACAAGGAACACCAAUGGCGAAGGCAGCUUGCUGGGCUACUCCUGACACUGAGGUACGAAAGCGUGGGGAGCGAACAGG
rnacentral:rRNA from 1 species